rnacentral:rRNA from 1 species
GAUGAACGCUGGCGGCGUGCUUAACACAUGCAAGUCGAACGGAAAGGCCCAAGCUUGCUUGGGUACUCGAGUGGCGAACGGGUGAGUAACACGUGGGUGAUCUGCCCCGCACUUCGGGAUAAGCCUGGGAAACUGGGUCUAAUACCGGAUAGGACAGUGGUUUGGAUGCCAUUGUGGAAAGUUUUUUCGGUGUGGGAUGAGCUCGCGGCCUAUCAGCUUGUUGGUGGGGUAAUGGCCUACCAAGGCGUCGACGGGUAGCCGGCCUGAGAGGGUGUACGGCCACAUUGGGACUGAGAUACGGCCCAGACUCCUACGGGAGGCAGCAGUGGGGAAUAUUGCACAAUGGGCGCAAGCCUGAUGCAGCGACGCCGCGUGGGGGAUGACGACCUUCGGGUUGUAAACUCCUUUCGCUAGGGACGAAGCGUUAUGUGACGGUACCUAGAGAAGAAGCACCGGCUAACUACGUG